AGCUCCAAUAGCGUAUAUUAAAGUUGUUGCAGUUAAAAAGCUCGUAGUUGGAUUUCGGAAUGGGCCAGUUGGUCCGCCGCAAGGUGAGUUACUGACUGGUUUGUUCUUCUUCGCAAAGACUGCGUGUGCUCUUUACUGAGUGUACGUAGGAUUUACGACGUUUACUUUGAAAAAAUUAGAGUGUUCAAAGCAGGCUAUCGCUUGAAUACAUGAGCAUGGAAUAAUGGAAUAGGACUUUGGUGCUAUUUUGUUGGUUUCUAGGACCGAAGUAAUGAUUAAGAGGGACAAUUUGGGGCAUCCGGAUUUCGUUGUCAGAGGUGAAAUUCUUGGAUUUACGAAAGACGAACAACUGCGAAAGCACUUGCCAAGAGUGUUUUCA
rnacentral:rRNA from 1 species